AUACGGAGGGUGCAAGCGUUAUUCGGAAUCACUGGGCGUAAAGGGUGCGUAGGCGGUUUGAUAAGUCUGAUGCGAAAUCCUAUGGCUCAACCAUAGAACUGCAUUGGAAACUGUCAGACUAGAAUACUGAAGGGGCAGAUGGAAUUAGUGGUGUAGGGGUAAAAUCCGUAGAUAUCACUAGGAAUACCGAAAGCGAAAGCGAUCUGCUGGGAAGUUAUUGACGCUGAGGCACGAAAGCGUGGGGAGCAAACGGGAUUAGAUACCCUAGUAGUCC
rnacentral:rRNA from 1 species